rnacentral:rRNA from 1 species
UACGAAGGGGGCUAGCGUUGCUCGGAAUGACUGGGCGUAAAGGGCGCGUAGGCGGAUGGCACAGUCAGAUGUGAAAUUCCUGGGCUUAACCUGGGGGCUGCAUUUGAUACGUGUGAUCUAGAGUGAGGAAGAGGGUUGUGGAAUUCCCAGUGUAGAGGUGAAAUUCGUAGAUAUUCGCAAGAACACCAGUGGCGAAGGCGGCUCACUGGCCCGAUACUGACGCUGAGGCACGAAAGCGUGGGGAGCAAACAGG